rnacentral:snoRNA from 1 species
UGCCUUUUUGUGUUGCCCAUUCUUUGCUUUUUCCUCAAAAGAAUGUGGUGUCAGCAAAGGCAUACAUUAAAGUCUUGGUUUGGCCUUGAAUAGGUACCAUCA